UCAGAUGGUCGGACGGCCGCCCGGUGAAUGCCGGGAGGAAAGUCCGGGCUCCCCGGAGAUACGGUGCCGGAUAACGUCCGGCGAAGGCGACUUCAGGGAAAGUGCCACAGAAAAUAUACCGCCCGCCAACGGCUUCGGUCGGUUUGGCGGGUAAGGGUGAAAUGGUGCGGUAAGAGCGCACCGCGGUCUCGGUAACGAGAGCGGCAGGGCAAACCCCACCGGGAGCAAGACCAAAUAGGGACGGCGCGCCGCCAGGAGCGGCAGGUUUGAUCUCCGAACCGCCGUCCGGGUAGGUUGCUAGAGGCGUCCGGCAACGGGCGUUCGAGAGGAAUGGCCGUCCAUCGGGAUCAUCUCCCGAGGACAGAACCCGGCUUAUAGACCAUCUGACCCC
rnacentral:RNase_P_RNA from 1 species